rnacentral:lncRNA from 1 species
GUGAUCCUCCUGCCUCAGCCACCAUGCCCGUCUAAUUUUUUGUAUUUUUAGUAGAGACGGGGUUUUACCGUGUUAGCCAGGAUGGUCUCAAUCUCCUAAUCUCAUGAUCCGCCCGCCUCGGCCUCCCAAAGUGCUGGGAUUACAGCCGUGAGCCACUGCGCCCGGGCUGAUUUCUUCUUAUGCCUAGUUGUGGAAGCUUCCAGGCUGACAAGAACGUAACGAACUGAGAAUAUGCCACCUUCAAUUCCUGCUUAAUACCUACCUUGGUCUUGGGAUGGGCAUGUUAAGAAUAGCAUAAUUGAAGAUGGCAGGAGGAUGGGAAGGGAAAAGGAGGGUGAUGCAGAAGAGGUGCUGAUAUGAUUGGCUUUGUGUCCCCAUAAUCCCCACGUGUCAAGGAAGAGACCAGAUGGAGGUAGUUGAAUCAUGGUGGGUGGGGGUUUCCCCCAUGCUGUUCUCGUGAUAGUCAGUUCUCACGAGAUCUAAUGGUUUUAUAAGGGACUCUUCCCUCUUCGCUUGGCACGCCACCUUCCUGCCCCCUGGCGAAGAAGGCGCUUUGUUUUCCCCUUCACCUUCUACCAUGACUGUACAUUUUAUGAGGCUUCCCCAACCAUACUGAACCCUCUUGGGAGAGGGAGCCAUAGAACCAAGCCCAGCGGCACUUUCUGGAGCACGUCAGAAGUAACAUCCAUCUCUCUGCAGAGGAGUUAGGCAAAUAGGUGCUGGAGCCAUA